rnacentral:rRNA from 1 species
CCUACGGGUGGCAGCAGUGAGGAAUAUUGGUCAAUGGACGAGAGUCUGAACCAGCCAAGUAGCGUGAAGGAUGACUGCCCUAUGGGUUGUAAACUUCUUUUAUAUGGGAAUAAAAUGUUCCACGUGUGGGAUUUUGUAUGUACCAUAUGAAUAAGGAUCGGCUAACUCCGUGCCAGCAGCCGCGGUAAUACGGAGGAUCCGAGCGUUAUCCGGAUUUAUUGGGUUUAAAGGGAGCGUAGGUGGAUUGUUAAGUCAGUUGUGAAAGUUUGCGGCUCAACCGUAAAAUUGCAGUUGAAACUGGCAGUCUUGAGUACAGUAGAGGUAGGCGGAAUUCGUGGUGUAGCGGUGAAAUGCUUAGAUAUCACGAAGAACUCCGAUUGCGAAGGCAGUUCACUGGACUGAAACUGACACUGAGGCACGAAAGUGUGGGUAUCAAACAGGAUUAGAUACCCUAGUAGUC